rnacentral:rRNA from 1 species
UGCCAGCCUCCGCGGUACUACAGAGGAUCCAAGCGUUACGCGGAAUCACUGGGCUUAAAGCGUGCGUAGGCUGACCUACAAGUGCCUUGUGAAAUCCCCGAGCUCAACUCGGGAAUUGCUCGGUAGACUGUAGGUCUUGAGGUCGGUAGAGGCGGUCGGAACGAUAGGUGGAGCGGUGAAAUGCGUAGAUAUCUAUCGGAACGCCAAAGGUGAAGACAGGCCGCUGGGCCGAACCUGACGCUGAGGCACGGAAGCGUGGGUAGCGAACAGGAUUAGAUA